UAUUAUUGUAUUAUGAGCUAAUGAUACUAUUUCACUGGUCAUUCAUGCUAUAUACAUGGGACCCCAAAUUGCAUUUUAAAAAGUCAAACUCCCUCAAAGGAGUCUGUAAAGAGGGUGAUGGUUGAUGGGGUGGGGGUUGCAAAUCUGGAAGGCAGUGUGACAGAUUCAAAGGCCCUCCCGCUGUGGGUGGUUUUCCGUAGCAUCUUAAAGCAGGAAAGCCCCACGGGGUCCCACUUUCUCCAAACACCAUUCACAGCCGCCAAGGCCAAGUGCUGCGCCCGGAGGGGCGCGGAAAACAUUCCGGGCAUCUCCCUAGACCAGGACUUUCAAUUCUUAGAACAAUAAAGCUGAGUCCAGCUGCUCUCUCUCCAGCCUGUGGGAAACCAGGCUUUUCACUGUCAGCAAUGCGAGAGAAAGGCGUUCAGCUUGCAGAGUCGCAGCCCGCUCUCCCGCAAGGCCGGCCCCUUUCUUUGCAGGCUAACUAUGCAAAUUCCCUGCAUCCCUGCCCGGCCGCGCGCGGAGAGGACGCGCAACCAUUCAAAGCCCGGUCGCCCGCUCCGGUCCAGCGCGUCGCCUGCGAAUGCGCCCGGGAAAGGGACGAUCCCUUGGCUGCAGGGCGCACAGCUGGGCACGAGGCCAAACACGCAUCUUUCCCACGCGGGUGCUGUGCGCUCCGCCUCCCUACUUUUGACCUGUUCCUUCCUGCGUUUUGAAUAACACGUGUAUCUUUGGGAGUGUGCCGGGGGUCACGGGUUGCAUGCAUAGACGUUUUCAAGAAAUAUUCGUGACCUCCUAGCCAACAAGCGGCGCCCUGACGGCUUAGUCUCUGGGGAGAGCGGGGCACGAGUGUCCGCAGAAAGGGGAGGAGGGCUUCUCGUCCUCCCGAGCAGUGACAGACGCUUUGAAAGUUGGCCGCGGAUUUCUGUUCUUGGCCAACCCUGCCCCGCGAGGUUGCCAGGCAUCCGGGCCCGCGCUCCCUCACCCCUAAGUGACCGCGGUCUACUCUGGGCGCGGAACGGCCGGUUCGGCCACCUCGGGGCCUGCACCCAGCGUGGCUGGGGGGGCGCCUGCAGCAAUCUCCAAGCCUGCGCCUCCCCGUGCGCUUCCCGCGCGCCCACCCUCCAUGAGUGGCCCGGGGACCCCCCUUUGCCGGGCCUCGGACCACCGGCUUUCUGCCGCCAGACGGACUGGAUCAUGGCCGCUGAACAAGACUGGAGAACUACACCGACCAGGAUCUCUUCAACCCAUGCCCACAGUCAUUAAGGCUGACCUUCAGAAUUGACCAGCAAUCUUAGGACCUGCUGGAAACUGUUCGCAUCCCACUGACUGAUCCCAUCUUUUCAGGGCUCAGCUGCAUUUCCCUCCAGCUAGGAUGCCCAUCAUCUCUUCCUUUUUCCUCUCAUUGAACUCCUAGCCAUCCCUCAAGACCCAACUCAAACAUCCCCUCCUGCAGGUAGCCUUCUGUGAUUGCUUCAGUGCUCACAGACUGCUUGCUCCUUUGUGCCACCAAUGUACUUUGUAAUGCAAUCUCCAUUUUAACGGAUCUGUGAAUUUUAUUAACUUAUUUUUCACAUUAAACAACGAAUUCUU